AGUCAUUUGGAGCAUCUGAAGAGAAUGCAGGAAGAGAUGCAGGUUGGAUAGCUGCUUCAUUAUUCGUUGCCAGAGUUUGUUUUGGAAUAAUUUGGGGAUAUUUGAUUGGCAAAAUUGAUCCGAAGAAGCUUCUAGUUAUAUUAGGAGUUUUUCAAAUUAUUUCUACAUUUUUGUUUGGAUUAAGUCGUUCAUUUUAUUGGGCUUUAGUUACAAGAUUUUUACAAGGCACUUUUA
rnacentral:lncRNA from 1 species